rnacentral:rRNA from 1 species
GGGCUCACACCAGCGGUGGAGCAUGUGGCUUAAUUCGAGGCUACGCGAAGAACCUUAUCCUAGGCUUGACAUGUACGGAUUAGUCUCCUGAAAGGGAGAUGACGCGGUUUCCGUGGAACGUACACAGGUGCUGCAUGGCUGUCGUCAGCUCGUGUCUUGAGAUGUCGGGUUAAGUCCCUUAACGAGCGAAACCCUUGUCCUUAGUUGCCAGCAGUUCGGCUGGGGACUCUAAGGAGACUGCCGGUGUUAAACCGGAGGAAGGUGGGGAUGACGUCAAGUCCUCAUGGCCCUUAUGCCUAGGGCUGCACACGUGCUACAAUGGGAGAUACAAAGGGACGCAAGUUCGCGAGGACAAGCAAAUCCCAGAAAAUCUCCCCCAGUUCGGAUUGCAGGCUGCAACUCGCCUGCAUGAAGCUGGAAUCGCUAGUAAUCGUAGAUCAGCUAUGCUACGGUGAAUGUGUUCCUGAGCCUU